ACUGCGGUGAUGUUGCUGGGAGAUACGGAGAUUCAUUUAGUGGCGAUGCCGAGCAAGGAGAAGAAUAUCCCUUGUUUCUAGUGUUUCUCAGUCUCUUUAGGUCUUUAUGAUUUUUUAUUCGGAUCAAUCCUGAGGUUAGUCGACAAUCGAGAGCGCUUUGUUCAUCCUCUAAACGAAUUUGAGUGUUUGUGAUAUAGGAUUCUAUUAGAGAGAUUGUUUAUGAGUAUAACGUUUACGAGCAUAUGGUGAUUACUAAGAUCAAAGAUGGUGUAAACGUUGCUGCAUCUCAUACUCUAAUAUCAGGCGGUUUAGCCUUUGGUGUUGGAGUCUUUGCUCUGAAAAGUGUUCUGAAGUUUAGAUGUGGUGGUAAAGUAAGUAAGCUUUAACAUGUUGUCUUGGUCUGUGCUGGAAUGAUGUUGCAAACCCAACAUCUUUUGCUUUCUCAGUUGUUUUUUGUGAAGAACAUUUGGUUUAAUAAUGAAUAUAACCCAACGUUAUGCAUGGCUUGCUCUGAGUUUAACCCAACGUCUCUUUAUUAUAUUUGUUUGUUCAUAUGA